UCAUGAAAGCACUCAUUAUAAACAAGAUUGCGAUCAGAAAGCCCUGAAUCAAAUCAGAACAAAGUUUUUUCAGCUGUUGUUGCUUUAGUUAGUGGCCACAAGGAAAAGCCUGGAAAUCGGUCAGGAUAUGUAGUCAUACUUGGUUCAACAUGGCUGGGUAUGUGGUCAUUGGUGCUCUCCUCUUGAGUAUCAGCCAUGGCACUUUCGGUCUUUGGUGUUUUCAAUGCUCGGAAUUCGUGUCAAAUCAGGAGAGGCUUGUCCAAGCCUUCGACCAAUCACACCCUUUGGUCCCGGAAUACGAAUAAGUACUAUGAGAUCACGGGACCGCAGCGAAGUGCGCCGUGGGAUAUUCCAACUCAUCAGGUCGAGUUUAUUAUCAGUCAAGUGUAACUGGGACUGAGUGUGAGAGUUAGGUUCCAAACUCGAAUCGUGGCUAAUUUACACUCGCUCAAUCAGGCGGAUCAGAUGGAACAGUUAGCUGUUGUUACAAGGACGGCUGUAACUGGAAUGGAACCGUAUCCAGAUCUGGCCUAUCCUAUGCCGGAUACAGCGAACGGUUCACUCUAAAAAGUGCAGCAACCGUGGCACUCGCCAAUUCUGGAUGGAAGAUUGGAUGUACAUUCUCUUGGAUGUAUUCUCCUUCUCCUCCUUCUACUAUUUUGUUGCUGCUGCUGUUUCUUCGGAUGUUGUCGACCACUUUCAGGAAGAAGAAAAGGACAAGGAUGCAGGCGAAGGAAAUGAUGAAUAACUUGGGGUACUACUAUCGAGAUCAACAUUCUAGCGAUUCUGCCAAGAGCAAAGGAGUUCCAAGACGGAUCAUGGUGGCCAGCGCUGAAAGGGAACCAGAGAUCAAGGUGUUCUCCAAUCGGAUCAUGAGCGGUAUUCAGCUAUAGAUCGCCGAAUUUAUCAAAGGACCAUUCCGGACAGUUCAGCUAACUCUGACUAUAACAGUCGGGAUCGACUUCUCGGCGAGAUUCAGAUGCCUACACAGCUACAAUAAGAACCCGAAUUGCCGCCAUUUCACGUGAGGUGUUCGACAACGAUGGUUUCAAGCAAAGCCAAAUGCCGUGGUCAAUCCUGGAGAGAAACCCGAACUCGCAAGAAGCAUCUUGAAUGGCAACAAGUAUGGUCCAAAGGCGAGCCCAUGAAGGAC